AUUUAAGAGAGUUUGAUUCUGGCUCAGGAUGAACGCUGGCGGCGUGGAUAAGGCAUGCAAGUCAAGGGGGUUUUGGGAGCAAUUUCAAAACAACCGGCGAACGAGUUAGUAACACCUUGGUACAUAACCUAAAGUCGGGCACAACCCCGCGAAAGCGGAGCUAAUUCCCGAUGUUGAAGCAAUUCCAAAGGAGCAAUCCGCUUUGGGAGUGGCCUAGGUCCUAUCAGCUUGUUGGCGGGGUAAAAGCCCACCAAGGCUAUGACGGGUAGGGGGCGUGAGAGCGCGUUCCUCAACGACGACACUGAGAUACGGGUCGUACACCUACGGGUGGCAGCAGUCAAGAACAUUCGACAAUGGGCGAAAGCCUGAUCGAGCGACGCCGCGUGCAGGAAGAAGUCCUUCGGGAUGUAAACUGCUUUUGCGUAGGAAAAAUUUUGAUUGUACUACAAGAAUAAGGGGUUGCUAACCUCGUGCCAGCAGCAGCGGUAAUACGAGGACCCCGAGCGUUAUCCGGAAUUACUGGGCAUAAAGAGCGAGUAGCCGGUUUUGUUAGUCUGAUGUUAAAUUCCGAGGCUUAACUUCGGAGCCGCAUCGGAAACGGCAAGAGUCCAGCUCAAAGUUAUUUUCUAAGACGAAAUUGAAAUAUUUGAGACGAAAUAAAGAAAAAAUUUUAAGGCAUAGCCUAGCAGGUAAGAGGUAAGCGGAACGUGCGGUGUAGGGGUGAAAUCCAUUGAUAUCGCACGGAACACCAAAAGCGAAGGCAGCUUACUGGUGCUUUGCUGACGGUCAAUCGCGAAAGCGUGGGCAUAAAAAAGGAUUAGAUACCCUUGUAUUCCACGCCCUAAACUAUGCUGACUAGCUAUUGGGAGCAUCGACCCUUCCAGUGGCGUAGCUAAUGCGUUAAGUCAGCCGCCUGGGAAGUACGAGCGCAAGCUUAAAACUUAAAGAAAUAGGCGGGAAUUCGCACAAGCGGUGGAUCAUGUGGUUUAAUUCGACACUGAGCGAAGAACCUCACCAAGGCUUGAAAUCCUAGUGUAAGCUCCGGGAAACCGGGGCCCCCGCAAGGCUCUAGGACAGGUGCUGCACGGCUGAACUAUCGGCCGGUAGGGGAGCAAUUCCCUACAAAAAUAACCAGCUCAUAACGGUGGAGUCCGAAAUAUAUUAAUGUUAAAAUUAAUAUAUGGAUAAUACCGUGGGAAGCCCGAAUACAAGUUUUUGUAACUUUCCGAAAUCAACUCAAGAUUAUUAUAUUCUUGGCCUUUGGUGCGCUGAUGGCUACCACUGGACAAGCAGUAUAGGAUUGAGCAAUAUUGAUUUAAUUUUAAUUAAGAAAUUUAGAAAUUUUCUUUCAGGAUUAUUUCCUAAAGAAAGAAUUAAAUUGGAUCAAUACAGAACAGGAAAGAGAAAAUAUGUUGGAUAUAAGAUUUAUGUAAAUUGCAGGCCGUUAUUAAGAAUUUUUAAAAAAUUCAAAGACAAUAAUAACGAGAGGAGUAUAAAUAAUGCCGAAGCAAUAAAAGCUUAUAUCGCAGGAAGAUUUGAUGGCGAUGGUUGUAUAUCUAAAGACCUAAAACGAGAUUGCAGAAUAUCUUAUGGAAAUGAGAUUGAUGCAAAACUUGACACCAAUUUAUUACAAGAAAUUGGCAUUAUGCCCAAACUAUACAGAUAUCGCACAUCAAAUACAUUUGUAAUUUAUAUUUCUAGAUUUGAUACUAAAAAAUUUACAAAUGUAAUCAGUCCAUAUUCAAUAAAGUUACAAAAACUUGUACUUGGGUCCCGUAGAGACUCUGACUAUACAGAGAUAGUCAGGAUGGCAACAAAUAAUAUAUAAUAUUGCCAUAAAACGCUGGCUCCCUCCCCAAGCAUGGAGAGGGAUGAAAGUAUAGUCCGUACCAUUAGGAAUAAUGGAAUAAUACGGUCGUCAGCUCGUCUCGUGAGAGGUUUCCUUAAGUGGAUUAACGAGCGCAACCCCUAUCGUCUGUUAUAUUUGUCAGGCGAGACUGCUUUCGUAAGGAAGAGGAAGGUGGGGAUGACGUCAAGUCAGCGUGGCCCUCUGAUGUCUUGGGCUACACACAUGAUACAAUGGAUGUUACAAUGGGUUGCCAACCCGCGAGGGGGAGCUAAUCCCAUCAAAGGCAUCCUCAGUUCGGAUAGGAGGCUGAAACUUGCCUCCUUGAAGCCGGAAUCGCUAGUAAUCGCAGAUCAGAACGCUGCGGUGAAUACGUUCUCGAAUUUUGCACUCACAAUAAAAGCGCUCGGCAGGUUUCUUUUCUAAACGGUUAAAAUCCGUU
rnacentral:rRNA from 1 species